GAUGCUACGAAAAUUAAUUUGCAUAGUAAUGUUUACUUUAAUUAAUUUGGAAAAAAAUUGAAAUGAACAAAAAUCCUAAAAUGAAAUCAGCAAAUACACAGGAUAUAUAGGAUAGGAGUUUGAAUGGAUAAGGCUAGUUCUGCGCUUGCGGUGAGAAUCGCAUCCAGCUCUCGCGGGAGGAAAUGGGAUUGUACUGCGUCAUAGCUAUAGCUCCAGUAGAUCCAUGGCCAUGCGUCCAUGGCGCUAAUCCAAUUCCAGCAGCGGCUUGCCGUUGGAGUGGCUCGGCCUCCUCCGGGCCUCGGUCUGGCCGCCGUCCGCCGUAGCCCUAGGAACAAUGGCGCGCGCGGCCGCGGCAGGAGGACGACGACGACGACAGCCUGUUCGAUGCUGGAGCCUGCAGCAAGAGGGAAGGCGGCGGUGGCGCCGACGGCGGCGG
rnacentral:lncRNA from 1 species